CCCCUAGAUGUUCUGGGCCGCACGCGCGCUACACUGAACAGUUCAACAAGUCUUAACCUUGGCCGAUAGGUCUGGGUAAUCUUUGAACGCUGUUCGUGAUUGGGAUAGACCUUUGCAAUUAUGGGUCUUCAACGAGGAAUUCCUAGUAAACGCAAGUCAUCAGCUUGCAUUGAUUACGUCCCUGCCCUUUGUACACACCGCCCGUCGCACCUACCGAUUGAAUGGUCCGGUGAAAUCUCGGGAGGGCGGCUUGGUCGCUUGCGUCCGACUGCUGAAACUUGAUUAAACCAUAUCAUUUAGAGGAAGGUGAAGUCGUAACA
rnacentral:rRNA from 1 species